rnacentral:rRNA from 1 species
CAGCCGCCACGGGAAUACGUAGGGUGCGAGCGUUAAUCGGAAUUACUGGGCGUAAAGCGUGCGCAGGCGGUUAUAUAAGACAGAUGUGAAAUCCCCGGGCUCAACCUGGGACCUGCAUUUGUGACUGUAUAGCUAGAGUACGGUAGAGGGGGAUGGAAUUCCGCGUGUAGCAGUGAAAUGCGUAGAUAUGUGGAGGAAUACCGAUGGCGAAGGCAGCCCCCUGGGAUAACACUGACGCUCAUGCACGAAAGCGUGGGGAGCAAACAGGAUUAGAUACCCCCGUAGUCCCUGUCUCUUAUAC